UACAUGGGGUGCAAACGUUGCUCGGAAUUACUGGGCGUAAAGGGCGCGUAGGCGGGAUGGCAAGUCGGUCGUGAAAUCCCUCGGCUCAACUGAGGAUCGUCGAUCGAUACUGCCGUUCUUGAGGAUUGCAGAGGAGACUGGAAUUCCUGGUGUAGCAGUGAAAUGCGUAGAUAUCAGGAGGAAUACCGAUGGCGAAGGCAGGUCUCUGGGCUGACACUGACGCUCAUGCACGAAAGCGUGGGGAGCAAACAGG
rnacentral:rRNA from 1 species